CUGUUCGAGCGUCAUUGAGACCAACAAGCCUAAGCUUGGUAUUGGAUGUCAUCAUAUAGGUGCACCUUAAAAUUAGGAGCAGUGCUCCCAGCUUCAAGCGCAGUAAUUUUCUCGCUUCUGGAGUCUGGAUAGUUACUGUCUGAACCCCUAAACUAUCACAGUUUGACCUCGGAUCAGGUAGGGAUACCCGCUGAACUUAA
rnacentral:misc_RNA from 1 species